rnacentral:rRNA from 1 species
UGACGUAGGGUGCAAGCGUUUAAUCGGAAGUUACUGGGCGUAAAGCGUGCGCAGGCGGUUUUGUAAGUCAGAAUGUGAAAUCCCCGGGCUUAACCUGGGAACUGCGUUUGAAACUACAAGGCUAGAGUGUGGCAGAGGGGGUGGAAUUCCGGUGUAGCAGUGAAAUGCGUAGAGAUCGGGAGGAACACCAGUGGCGAAGGCGGACUACCUGGACCGCAGUGACACUCAAGCACGAAAGCGUGGGGAGCAA